UGGGUGCAACAAACUAAAGUAAGAAAACUGAAACCAAUUUUGGGAUGUACAGAUGUAUGGACGUACCAAGAACAAGGGUAAACAUAAUGCCCCCUCCACAACUGGGGCAAACGUCUCACUUUGAAAGCAAAUAUCAUUUGACAGAGGCUGCUGUUAAUAUAAACUGCCCAUUUUAGGGUCAACAUGAAAAGAUAGCAUUUCAAAG
rnacentral:lncRNA from 1 species